rnacentral:rRNA from 1 species
UACGAAGGGGGCUAGCGUUGCUCGGAAUUACUGGGCGUAAAGGGCGCGUAGGCGGACAGUUUAGUCAGAGGUGAAAGCCCAGGGCUCAACCUUGGAAUUGCCUUUGAUACUGGCUGUCUUGAGUUCGGGAGAGGUGAGUGGAAUGCCGAGUGUAGAGGUGAAAUUCGUAGAUAUUCGGCGGAACACCAGUGGCGAAGGCGACUCACUGGCCCAUUACUGACGCUGAGGUGCGAAAGCGUGGGGAGCAAACAGG